AGUGAACGCUGGCGGUAGGCCUAACACAUGCAAGUCGAACGGCAGCACAGGAGAGCUUGCUCUCUGGGUGGCGAGUGGCGGACGGGUGAGGAAUACAUCGGAAUCUACUCUGUCGUGGGGAUAACGUAGGGAAACUUACGCUAAUACCGCAUACGACCUACGGGUGAAAGCAGGGGAUCUUCGCACCUUGCGCGAUUGAAUGAGCCGAUGUCGGAUUAGCUAGUUGGCGGGGUAAAGGCCCACCAAGCCGACGAUCCGUAGCUGGUCUGAGAGGAUGAUCAGCCACACUGGAACUGAGACACGGUCCAGACUCCUACGGGAGGCAGCAGUGGGGAAUAUUGGACAAUGGGCGCAAGCCUGAUCCAGCCAUACCGCGUGGGUGAAGAAGGCCUUCGGGUUGUAAAGCCCUUUUGUUGGGAAAGAAAUCCAGCUGGCUAAUACCCGGUUGGGAUGACGGUACCCAAAGAAUAAGCACCGGCUAACUUCGUGCCAGCCGCCGCCGUAA
rnacentral:rRNA from 1 species